AACCCCCCUAUUCAUCUUCAACCCAAUCAAAAGAUCUCUCGUCCAUGGCCUCCAUUUAGGACGUCUUCUGAGAGAGAUUUUUCUCUCUCUCGGUCUCUCUUCUAUAUUUCUCCUCUCGCCGUUUCUAACUUUUAUUUUUUAGUCUUAGAGGGGGAGGAUGGGGAAGUACGUGGAGAUGUUGGACAUGGGGGUGAGGAUAGCGGCGCGGUUCCACUCGCACUGCCCCCAGACGGCCCGGAUGUAUUACAAGCCGCCGUCUAGGCCGGAAGGCGAAGGGGGUAACUCUACCGAGGUCGGUGACGGGAGCCAUCACGGGUUGAUGACGGGCUGGAUGGCGUUUCCUUCUUCUUCUUCGUCGGCGGGAGGGGCGUGCCGUGGCGACGCCGUCCGUCCGGCCUUCGACACCGCCGACAUCAUUCUUUAUACUGUUUGAGUCCAAAAAGAAAUUGAGGGAAAAAUAUUUACACACACAGAAAAAGAGAAAACAAUAUGUGUUUUUUUAUUUAUUCGAUGGGUCUGUGAGAGAUUGUUUUAAGUGUUGGACUUUAAGCUCUCUCUCUUCACAUCCAUGACAUGGGAAUUCUAAGAAAGAAUUUUUUUUUAUUCGUUCAUUCAUCAUUCAUCCAUCGUUUCCAAUUUUCCUUAGCUCAAAGGGAGGUGAUGGGAUUCGAACUCCUCGGGACCAAAUGUGUGGUCUCCUCCAACAGGGGAAAUGCCGGUUCGUAUCUAAAUUCUCGCGUUGACUGAGAUUCUGGGAUCCCACGGUUGGGUUACCGCAGGGCCUGGAGCCGUAUUGGCCCAAUGGAACGAGAUGUUUUUUUCUUUCAAUCGCAGGAAAGGAGAUGAGAUGGGUUUGCUUUUACGUCAAUAAUAACUUACGGCAGCUUUAUUGGAAUCGAUCCUUGUGCUGCACAAGCAAACUAUAUAUUGUCCAUGUCUAUCUUUCUAAUAACUGUUUGGCAAGCUUCUUUUUUGUCCCAGAACCAGAUAUCCGUCAAAACUUAAACCUAACCAAUUUAUUAAACUUCUUUAAUUUGUUAGGCAAGAAAUCAAAAGGCUACGAAGACGGGGAGGUAAGCAUACGAGAUGGUAAUUUAAUGUCGUGGAGAGAUUGUUUGGAAGGAAAAGCCAGAGAGCGUGAGGCUGUGAAUUAGCUGUCGGCCGAUCCUUUCAAGCAACUGGCGGCGAACGCGGAGAGCACACCCUUUCGGACGAGAAAUUUAUACCCUACACCGGAUGUACCACAUCAGUCACGCACCGAGCCAAUGAGACCUUCCCACAUCAGCUUAAGUCAAAAAAAAAAAGGAAAGCCCGCGCUCGAGCUCUUCCUCCCCCAGGUGUGCGCAAUGAGGUAACAAGCGGUGGGGGUCCGCCUUGGAGCGCUAGGAUAUUCGUCCCCCACCGCCUCCCGAUUCCAGCCGCCCAUCAAAAUCGCUACCUCCGAUUCCGUACCCUUCACCUCCGCCCUCCCCGUGGCCAGGCGCGCGAUGUGGCGAGGUCUCGUUGGCUUGGUGCACUACUGAUGUGGUACAUCAGGUUUACGGAGUAUUGCUGGAGUAGGAAAGCAUGAAACGCGAGGAAGGUCGUGUGGACCUCGCUUUACGGAACUUGUUUGGAAGACACGGUUGGAAUCUGCUGUUCCUUUCAAAUUUCCAAUAUGCACGGCCCAAGUCAUAUUUUCCAAUUUGUUUGGGCCCUCCACGUCAAUUCACAUGGGACUUGAAAAUUAAAUGAGAAGAGGCGUGGCUCGUGUUUCUUCUCUAUGGUGCUUGAUUUUAACUUUGCCAUCUACAUGUUUACUAGAACAAAUAUUGUUAACCCCACAAGCACAUGAACGUGUAUUUGAUCGCAUGCAUCAGAAAAAAUCACCUUAAAUUGUGGGACCUUGGUGUUUUUGUGUAGAAAAACAAUGCAUUGACCUGGUUAUAUUUAGCCA